GGUCAUGAGUAUCAGCAGAUAGCCCCGGCUUGCUGAUCGGCAACCCUCGCGGAGCGGUGGGGUGCCCCGGGUGAGGACCGGGCUGUAUCCAUGCGGAUACGGCAAGCGCCCCUA
rnacentral:ncRNA from 2 species